AGUGAACGCUGGCGGUAGGCCUAACACAUGCAAGUCGAACGGCAGCACAGUAAGAGCUUGCUCUUACGGGUGGCGAGUGGCGGACGGGUGAGGAAUACAUCGGAAUCUACUUUUUCGUGGGGGAUAACGUAGGGAAACUUACGAUAAUACCGCAUACGACCUACGGGUGAAAGCAGGGGAUCUUCGGACCUUGCGCGAUUGAAUGAGCCGAUGUCGGAUUAGCUAGUUGGCGGGGUAAAGGCCCACCAAGGCGACGAUCCGUAGCUGGUCUGAGAGGAUGAUCAGCGACAAUGGAACUGAGCCACGGUCCAGACUCCUAAGGGAGGCAGCAGUGGGGAAUAUUGGACAAUGGGCGCAAGCCUGAUCCAGCCAUACCGCGUGUGUGAAGGAGGCCUUCGGGUUGUAAAGCCCUUUUGUUGGGAAAGAAAAGCAGUAGGUUAAGACCCCGCUGUUCUGACGGUACCCAAAGAAUAAGCACCGGCUAACUUCGUG
rnacentral:rRNA from 1 species